rnacentral:rRNA from 1 species
ACGAACGCUGGCGGCGUGCUUAACACAUGCAAGUCGAACGGAAAGGCCCUGCUUUUGUGGGGUGCUCGAGUGGCGAACGGGUGAGUAACACGUGAGUAACCUGCCCUUGACUUUGGGAUAACUUCAGGAAACUGGGGCUAAUACCGGAUAGGAGCUCCUGCUGCAUGGUGGGGGUUGGAAAGUUUCGGCGGUUGGGGAUGGACUCGCGGCUUAUCAGCUUGUUGGUGGGGUAGUGGCUUGCCAAGGCUUUGACGGGUAGCCGGCCUGAGAGGGUGACCGGACACAUUGGGACUGAGAUACGGCCCAGACUCCUACGGGAGGCAGCAGUGGGGAAUAUUGCACAAUGGGCGGAAGCCUGAUGCAGCAACGCCGCGUGCGGGAUGACGGCCUUCGGGUUGUAAACCGCUUUCGCCUGUGACGAAGCGUGAGUGACGGUAAUGGGUAAAGAAGCACCGGCUAACUACGUG